UUUAUAAGUUUACACACAUAUUUUGAUGAAUUUCAACAUUUUUAAUGUUUUUUUUUUGUUAAAUUUGAAAAUUGGAUAUUUUUAAAAAGUAGUAUUUUUGAAAUUCCCUCUUCGUAAUUUAUAAAAUUUAAUAAAUUUAAAGUCGAUAAAAAAAAAAAAAAGUUUCUGAUAAAAUUCUUAAUAAUCCCACCCCAACCCAAUACCCGACAGCUAACGCUUAAGAAUUUUUCAAACAAGCCUUGGUAAUAUAGAAAUUAGAAAGUAAGGAAUCUAGUCAUUGACUUUGAAUUGCCGACCAAACAAAAAAAAAAAAAAAAAGAUGGUCAUU
rnacentral:lncRNA from 1 species